GGGAGUCUCUCACAGUAAGGGUUUUUGCUGACUGGUGGCUGGCACAAAGGAGUGAAGAUGGGCAGGAAGGGAAGAAUGAGAGAGUCUACUGGAAGGAGGAUGCCUGCUUAGACCAUGAUCAUCCUGGCUCCUGUCCGACAAGAAGAAUAUGCUUUAAUGGAGGUCCAAGUUCAAUGCUUUCACCAAUGAACCUACGAUGUUUGGCACCCAGUAAUGCAGAUGACGCUGAUCCUACUGGAGAAACGUUUGGUCCCAUCCAGGGUAGGUGUUGGUAGAGGUGAGGAGAUCCUAGCAAAGCUUCAGAUCUUUCACAUCUAAGCAUAAUGAACAAUGCUGAGUCCAAGUUACACUGCCAUGGACGUCAUCCUGAUGCUGCCCCCUCAGGGAGUGUCAACAGCUCAUAGCCUAAGACUCAAACAGGAAAGGCAAAGAAAGCAGUUAAUAAGUACGUCGAGUGUACAGCAUCUGAUUAUUUUCUCCAAAUAACCUCACAUUUGCAGUAGAAAAAAUAAUCACUGUUACUUCUAAUAAAGGUCUCACCAUAUUAUUUUAAUCAUCAACACUUGAACACAAUUAUAAUUGCAUUGAAAAGUGAUACCUAUUUUGUUAUGGCAUUAGAAUUCAUGUAAGGGGCAGCAACACAAAUACAGAAAUUGGCAAUUACUAAAGUAGGAAAGCAUUAGCUUCCUAUUCUCUUAGAUGUUUCAUUAUGCACAUCGCCUAUACAUUCAGAAAGGACUUAAGUCAAUUUGUCUGAAUUUCAAAUAUUUUUGUACAGCUGUUUUAUGAGAAAAUAAAUUCCAAUCCUCCAUACUUUUAAAUUGUUUUAGCCUCUCAUAAGUUUGAGAGAAAAAAAAAAACCCUGCUAACAUUUUCAUCCAUUUAAAAUUAACAUGGCAGAUUUCCAAAUGCUGGGAAUUGAAAAGUGCCUGUUCCCAGCACAUGGUCUCAACCAUCUGCUCUGACCAUCCGGAUAAGGUCCAGACAUCACCUCCAAUGUGUUAUUAAAAAGUCAAAGUGGUUCUGGGAUGGACGUAAUUUUUUUCCAGCAUUUUACACGUGAUGAAUGAGCUAUAGCUUUUCCAAACAAGGAACCUGCUGACUGCAUGCACGUAGGCACUUAUCUUCGGCUCUAUAUUCAACUGUGCGUGUUUACAUUUGUCCACUCGGCACCCUCCCUGCUCCCAUCUCCAUCAAGCACAUGUAGCCCCCUCAUACACACACCCCACAUACAAAUGUAAACUUGCCUCGGGGAGCUUGAACCACAACAUGCCCAGGAACACAAAAGGCUUGGUACUCUUUCAAACUGACAGUGUAAUACAUUCUACACUAACUAGAAUUAGGGACAUUUUAUUUCCCCCAUGAGAACACAGAGUUAAUUCACACACUGAUUAAUUAUCAUGCUCUUAUUUGCUUCAAACUUCUUCAUUUCACAUUUUUUUUAAGCUUUGCUUUGUGGGACAGCAUUAGCUACUCAUAGGAGGGCACAGGCACCUCACAUAGAUGAGGCUGCAAAGGUAUAAAACAGAUGUCAAACUUCUUUUUCUCUUUGCCUUUCAAAUUGAAAUACUCCCCCACAAGUCCACAGUCUUAUCAUUCAAUUCAUUCUUUUCAUUUAGGAUCCACCAGAACAGGCAAAUUCUUAGAAAACAAAGUAACAAUUUUCCAAUGUUGAUGUUAAAAAUAAAUCAUUCAUUGCCAAAGAACAAACCUCCAUAAAACACUAAUCAGCAUAAGUAUUUCAGCCGAGAGUAAGUUGUCAAGUUGAAACAAUAUUAAAGUAGGACAGGGAAGCUUGCUGUAAUACUGUGGAAAAUACUCGAAAGACAGAGUUCAACAUUGCCAGUCAUUUUUAAACCACUAUAAAAUACUCAAUGGAAACGGUUCAACAAGGGUGAAAACACAGUUAUUUCUUCCUACCCCUUGGAAGACUUUACGAAAUGCUGUUUUGUAAUUAUCUGAGUGAUAUAUAUGAGAAACUGAGUUAGAAGGUACUUUGUUUCCCUAUUGUGAUCAGAAAUGCUUCAGCUAAGGAG